CGGGGUGUAGCUCACAUGGUAGAGCGCGUGCUUUGGGAGCAUGAGGCAGCAGGUUCGAUUCCUGUCACCCCGACCA
rnacentral:tRNA from 1 species